UACGUAGGGGGCAAGCGUUGUCCGGAAUCAUUGGGCGUAAAGAGCGUGUAGGCGGCCCGAUAAGUCCGCCGUGAAAGCCCAGGGCUCAACCCUGGGAUGCCGGUGGAUACUGUCGGGCUAGAGUUCGGAAGAGGCAAGUGGAAUUCUCGGUGUAGCGGUGAAAUGCGUAGAUAUCGAGAGGAACACCUGCGGCGAAGGCGGGUAGCUGGGCCGACACUGACGCUGAGGCGCGAAAGCCAGGGGAGCGAACGGG
rnacentral:rRNA from 1 species